GCAUAAGAAGUAAAACUUACAUUCAACUUCGAACUGAAAAUUUAGCUCUAAGCUCUUAUUUA
rnacentral:tRNA from 1 species